rnacentral:rRNA from 1 species
CGCGCAGGCAGUCUUCUACGUCUGGGGUGAAAACCCGGGGCUCAACCCCGGGACUGCCUUGGAUACGGGGAGACUUGAGGAUCGGAGAGGCAAGGGGAAUUCCACGUGUAGCGGUGAAAUGCGUAGAGAUGUGGAGGAACACCUGUGGCGAAGGCGCCUUGCUGGCCGAUUUCUGACGCUGAGGCGCGAAAGCGUGGGGAGCAAACA